rnacentral:hammerhead_ribozyme from 1 species
AUCCAGCUGACAAAUCCCAAAUAGGACGAAACGCGCUUUGUCCUAGAU